rnacentral:rRNA from 1 species
UACGUAGGUGGCAAGCGUUGUCCGGAAUUAUUGGGCGUAAAGCGCGCGCAGGCGGUUCCUUAAGUCUGAUGUGAAAGCCCAUGGCUCAACCGUGGAGGGUCAUUGGAAACUGGGGGACUUGAGUGCAGAAGAGGAGAGCGGAAUUCCACGUGUAGCGGUGAAAUGCGUAGAGAUGUGGAGGAACACCAGUGGCGAAGGCGACUCACUGGACAGGUAUUGACGCUGAGGUGCGAAAGCGUGGGGAGCAAACAGG